rnacentral:sRNA from 1 species
GCGUAGCCCAGAUUGUAGUGAAAAUCCUUUUUGUUCGCUUUUUAGCGUGCAAAAAGAUUGCAACGAAAAGCGGGACGAUUA